UGAGGAGGAAGAGGAGCCCAGGGCAGUGAUGAAGGGGCUGAGCCGUCUGCUGCGUGCCGGGGAGGACGCCAUGGUGGGAGCGGGGGCAGCCAGCCAUGAUGGCCUAUUGCCAGAUGAGAGAGAAUUUCAACAUGCUGCUAAAAUGAACAAUUUGGAAACCAUGGAAAAGCUAUUUACCAAGAAUGUUAAUAUAAAUGCUGUAGAUACUCUGAAGCGUACUGCGCUCCAUUUUGCUGUUGCAAGAAGUCAUAUAUCAGUGGUGGAUUUUCUUCUCCAUCACAAAGCUAGACUUGAUAUGGCGGAUCAGCAUGGCCUGACAGUGAUUCAUCUUGCAGCUUGGACUGGAAAUCUGGAUAUAAUGCGAAAAUUGGUUAAAGCAGGCGCGGAUCAAAAGGCUAAGAAUGAGGAAGGAAUGAAUGCAUUGCACUUUGCAGCUCAGAACAACAGCGUUAAAAUAGUUGAUUAUUUUCUCCAAGAUCUUCAUCUGAAUGACUUGAACAAGCCUGAUGGGAAAGGCAAAAAGCCAUUUCUUCUGGCAUCUGAAAAAGGUCAUGUUGACAUGAUAAAUAAUUUGAUUACUCUGAAGCUGUUUACAACUGAAAAAGAUAAGGAUGGAAACACAGCAUUGCAUCUAGCAGCCAAAAAUGGUCACAGUGAAGUUAUAGAAAUUCUGCUGGAGCAGUGGGAGGAAAUAAAUGACCUCAAUGAGAAUGGAGAAACUCCAUUUUACUUGUCUGUUGAAGGAGGUCAUGAAAAAUGCGCUGAACUUUUACUGGAAGCAGGGAGUGACAUCAAUGUUUUAACUCAAAACAAUAGCAGUGCUUUGCAGAUUGCAGUUCAGAAUGGACAUCUCUCCUUGGUUAAUUUUCUUAUUGAUAGGAAUAUUGACCUGGUUCCUAAACCCGAGCAGAAGAAUUCCCCCCUCCAUUUAGCCAUCGUCAAUAAUCAUCUAAUGGUAGUAAGAAGCCUCUUGGAUGCCAAUCAUGACAUAAACUCCUUAAAUCACAGGCAGGAAACCCCUCUGCAUCUGGCAGCUGAUCUUGGCAAUGUGGAGCUGGUGGAAGUGCUGCUGAAGGCACACUGCGAUCUCAAGUCCGUGGAUAAGCAUGGAAAAACUGCACUAGCUGUGGCAUCGAGGAGCAAUCACGCCCUUGUUGUAGACAUGAUCAUUAAAGCACAAAGGUAUUAUGCCAUGAAACAGGAAUGUCUAGCUCAUAGUGAUGACAGGUCAGACUUUGGCUUGUCCUUCAAGCAAGAUCAUAGCACACAGACCAAGCAAAUCCGUUCCUCCCUUUGGUAUCUAGCAUACAACCAGUUAAAACCCCAGGAAUGGAAAAAACUGGCCCUGUUCUGGAAGUUCACAGAUGAACAAAUUAAAGCUAUUGAAGAACAAUGGACAGGUGAGAAAGGAAAUAAGAGUAAAUUAGUAGGUUUUAAAACCUCUUGGAACUCUGAAAGUGCAAAAGCACAAAAUACACUGCUUUGUGUAUUGCAUAGGGAAAAAAAGUUAUAAGGAACACGGAAACAGAAUGCUGCUUAUCUGGCUACAUGGUAUAUUGCUGGCUCAUCAGAAUCCUGUCAAGCAUAUCUAUGAGGAUCUGGUGGAAGCAGGAUUUCAGCCUUUAGCUGAGAAGAUCAGAGCUGCAAGUAGCUCUGAUAUGGACCCCAGAAAAUGUGCAAUUUCAUGAAUUCAUCAAAAAACCCAUGACACAGAUGAUGGAAUUACAUGCGAGAUGGAAAGUGACUUUCAAAUACAAAUAAUAACUUUUUGGGAAACAAAAAUCCGUUUUGAAAUUGUAGGACUUUUUCUAAGCUAGGAGAACAUGCAGAGCUAACCAAUGUUUCAGGACUUUCUCAUGUGCUUGCUAUACAAACAUUUAAGGAAUUUAAGAGUGAAUGGCUGGCUGGUAAUUUAUGACUAUACUGCUAAGCAAACACCACCCCCCUUCAAUUUCUACACCUGGCUCAACAUUGAUACACUAAUUCCAUAUUGGAACUGCAAAUUAAGCUAUUUUGUGUUUGACGUGAAACAUAAAUGAGAUGUUUUCUACCUGAAAGAAAUUAAAUUUACAAAGUGAACAUUAUGUGUAUAAACCAACACUUCCAGAAACAGGUUGGCACCUGGCCUCAUUUGGGAUUCAUGUUUUUAUAAAGUCUUGGUAAGGAUUAUAGUGUUCUUGUCUAAGCGGGUUUUUCUCUUGUUUAAUUAGUGCUGGGAUUAAGAAGUCUUUCUUCUUCGGUAUUUGAUUUAUGCAAUGAAAAUACACAAAAAUUUCAUGUCUAAACCCAUGUGUGGCUGGCAGCAGAAUUUUCCAUCAUGGUAUAACCUUGUAUAUAUACUCAAAAAAGAGUAUUUGAUACUUAAUACUUAAUACAUCUAGUAAUCAUUUACCUAUUUCUUGUUCAUGUCUUGAACUAAUAUUUGGUAGUGUCUUGUUGAAUGUGUUAAAGGGUUUUCUCAUUACUGAAUAUAUUUCAUAACUGAAUGAUGUAAACCUUCUAUCUUUGUAGCUUUCUCUAUAACAAAAUAGCAAUACUUUUUGUCAUGUAAAGGAAGAAUUGAAUUGCCUUGUCGCUCUCUCUAUAGCUAGCAUUAUUUUGUACUGAAUCUUAUUGUUUGUCCUAAAAAGAUGAUGAUCUCUGUCUUAGUCUGAA